UACGUAGGGUGCAAGCGUUGUCCGGAAUUAUUGGGCGUAAGAGCUCGUAGGCGGUCUGUCGCGUCUGCUGUGAAAACUCAGGGCUUAACCCUGAGCUUGCAGUGGGUACGGGCAGACUAGAGUGCGGUAGGGGAGACUGGAAAUUCCUGGGUGAUAGCGGUGAAUGCGCAGAUAUCAGGAGGAACACCGGUGGCGAAGGCGGGUCUCUGGCCGUAACUGACGC
rnacentral:rRNA from 1 species